AUGAUUCCAAUUACUUGGUCGUUUGCGACUUGGGGGCUGGAUAUGGUUGGGCCUUUCAAAAGGUCCAAAGAUAAGAAGACCCACCUCCUGGUGGCGGUUGACAAGUUUACAAAGUGGGUGGAGGCAGAACCUGUUAGCAAGUGUGAUGCGGCCACGGUGGUUCAGUUCAUCAAAAAGGUGAUUUUCCGGUUUGGCUUUCCGCACAGUAUUAUCACAGAUAAUGGUACCAAUUUGUCCAAAGGUGCUAUGAAGGAGUUCUGCCAACGGGAGCACAUCCGGCUUGACGUUUCAUCAGUGGCACAUCCAUAG
rnacentral:rRNA from 1 species